UUACAGCUAGAAAGCUUACAUACACACCUCUGUCAAUAUUAGUAUAUUCCAGCUGCAGCAUUGCUGGAAAGCAUAGUGUGCUACAGCUCAUGUAACACUUUAAGUAUAUAUGCAUGGAAACACUAUAUUGCAAAUAUGAAAACAUAUGAUCAGCUUAUCACACAUGAAUGUUUAAUACCUGUUUGGUGCCUUGAGGAUCACGUUGAUCUAUCUCUCUGGAGUCUUCAUCAGGUCAUUACAAAUGGUAUAGACUACGAGAUUACAGUAUAUGAAUUGGAAUUGAAAUUGAAAUUAACAUAUAUGAUCGGCCCCCGAACCCCGUUUCCCCUUCCCCUUUCCGAGCUCUAGCGUUCCACCCUUUGCAUGCCGGCUCUAUUGGCCUCAAACCCCUGAUUGGCCCCCGGAUUCUUAUUCCUCGAUCUUCUCCUGAACUACUGCCCAAUAGUUUUAUUCUUUUCCACUACUCACAACUGCUACAGUAACCGUAACCACUCUUUGUCACGAAUUCAGGCUCCGUUUGAAAUUGUCUUGGAUUCCUCAUGUCUCUGCUAUCAGCUGCUAUCAUUUCGGCAUUUGCAAUCAUUAAUUGGGACCAUUAUUAGGCCGUGGGUCUUUAAAGUUCAAAUUUUAGUUGUUUUGGCUUGUCUUUGGCUUUAUAUCUCGGCGAAAUCGGCGUCGCUGUUAAAGAUCGAUGUUUUUGCCAAGGGCUUUCCUUCUUCCUUUCACUUCAAUUGAAGAAUUUGGAGAGAGACGACGCCGCAGUUCAACGGCUCCAUUUUUACAAGCGCAGAGAGAUAUUUCCCUCAGAAGUAAGAAGCAUUUUCUGGUACGUACAUGGUUCCUUUGACCUUGUUUUAAUCAUUGUUCUCAAUUAUACCAAGACGGAAUCCAGGUACGUAUACUCUUUAUUGGAAUUCUUUUGUGUUUCAAAACAGAACAGAACAGAUCAAUGCUUUUCUAUGAUUACUUUAAUUAACUAUCGCACCCUUAAUCAAAGAAGUCUGGUCAAUUACUUCGUUCACUAUCGUAGAAUUUUGUUACUUCUUCUAGAACCUACUUGGUUUCCAGUUUGUGUCCCAAUUAUUGAUAUUGAUAUCCUCACAUUGCUUCUAUGUAUGAGACUGUUAAUGCUACCAUGAACCCCUUCUCAUUCUCUAAUGAGAUGAGAUGGGUUUUUUGUUGUGAUUGGUUUUGAAUUGAUAUGGGCUUUGAUGUUUUAGGGGUAUUAUAUUUGUGCUCGAGUUCGUUUUUGACUUCUCGCGUCUUCGUUUCUUUGCUGCGCAGAAACAGGGAAAGAGAUACGUUCAGUCUGCAACUCUGAUCGUGAUUCUUUGACAGCCCGUCAGCUUUGUCUCCGUCGAUACCGCCAAGGCCUUUUUCAGCUUUCUCUCAUCUGUGGUUGGCUCCCGCUUUUCUGACAAACCUUCACAAUAAUAUAACAGUGUCUGCAUCUCCUUGCGAUUUGAGUGUAACAACAGGAGUUAACAGUACUGCUUCGGUUUCUGAUAUUUGGAUUGUUGCCUUUUGCUUUCUUCUCAUUAGUUCUGCACCUACCUGGGAUUUGAGUGAAGAAACAGAGGACGGACUGUGUUGUAGCCACUGAGCUCGCGAAGCCCCUCACUGCUUACUGCAUGCAAUGACAGAAACGAGUUUGGAGCAGAAUCUCAGCCAAAAGAGGCUGAGGAAAGUGUGAGUUUAGGAUGAUCACAUCUCAUUUCUAUACUAUUGACCAUGGCAAGAGCUCCAUGUUGUGACAAAGCUAAUGUCAAAAGACAGUGGUCUCCUGAGGAAGAUAAAGCUAAAUCUUGAGACUCAUGGAACUGGUGGCAAUUGGAUUCAUCUGCCACAAAAAGCUGGCUUUUAGGUUCUUCAACAAGAAUCAAGUCGACCACAUUAAGGGUGAUCAGAACACGUGGUUUUCUAAUAAAGAAGCCAAGCUGCUGAAAUUGCAGAAAGUCACCUCUGAAUUUGGAACUUUGUUUCUUCCAUGACUUGGCAUCUGAGUAACCGACUGCAAUACUUCGAAGAUAAGUCAGUUUAUCAACACGCAGGCACUACUAGCUAACAAACAAAAUGAAACUUCAGCAUCCUUCAGAUUCAUAUAAAAGCUGUCUUGCUGCCUUGACAAUUAAAGGUUUGCUUUUAUUCAUCUCUAAAUUCCUUAUGUUUGCACUUCUUGACAAUUAAAGGUUAUGUAUUCUUUAUAUUGUUUCUGUACAAGUUAAGCAAUAUCAGCAUGUCAAAGAUACAAAACGAAUUGCUUCUAAAACGUCAUGGUUCUCUUACGAAUCUGGUCUGGGAAUGUCCUUCUGUGAUUUUGAUCAUUGAUUUAUUUGUAUUAUCCUCCCAACAUAGUGGCACUCAAAGUGAUAACUCGAUCAGAGCUAUGAGUAGAUGUAUAGCAGCCUGCUUCAGUACUCAUGUUGUAAAGGCUUUAGUCACACAAAGGUGCUGAACUCGGGAACUUUGAGAUCUUUUCUCACAUGUUGUUUGUUAUAGGAGAGAUCUUCUAUCAUCGUUGUGUCUGAAAUCUCUUUCUUUGAGAAAUGCAGCACUUUUGAAAAUUGUUUUUGUUAUUUCCUGCAAAGGAAGAGGCAGUGACAGAUAAUUAAUAUGAAUGCUGUAAAAUAUGAUGCAGUAAACAUGUAAAAUGUUUGUCAUUAAUGAAUCGAUAUCUGAUAGCUUUUA